rnacentral:rRNA from 1 species
UACGGGGGGGGCAAGCGUUGUUCGGAAUUACUGGGCGUAAAGGGCUCGUAGGCGGCCAACUAAGUCAGACGUGAAAUCCCCAGGCUCAACCUGGGAACUGCGUCUGAUACUGGAUGGCUUGAAUCCGGGAGAGGGAUGCAGAAUUCCAGGUGUAGCGGUGAAAUGCGUAGAGAUCGGAAAGAACACUCGUGGCGAAGGCGACUUUCUGGCCUAAAACUGACGCUGAGGCGCGAAGGCGUGGGGAGCAAACAGG